AGCCAAUCCCAUUCGUGAUUCGCAUUUCGCCAUUUUGUUUUCGCUUUUUAGUGUGGGAUAAAGUACUCUGUUAUUUUAAAAUUUCUCAUGUGCUCUCUAAGAAUUUCGUGAUUAAAUCGUGCAUAAAUAUGUUAUAUUAUUUGUAGAAAGUGUUUAAAGUUAAAAUUUUAGGAUAUUUGUAGGAACUCGGUGCAAACAUGAGUGUCAUCAUAAGACUACAGAACCUACCUUGGUCGGCUAAUGCUCUUGACAUUAGGAAUUACUUCCGAGGCCUCUCUAUCCCGGAGGGCGGCGUUCACAUCGUAGGCGGCGAGCUUGGAGAUGCGUUCAUUGCGUUCAGG
rnacentral:lncRNA from 1 species